UGCUGGGCUGACCUCAUCUCACACGUGC
rnacentral:piRNA from 1 species